UACGUAGGCAGCAAGCGUUGUUCGGAGUUACUGGGCGUAAAGGGUGUGUAGGCGGUUGGUUAAGUUUGGGGUGAAAUCUCCCGGCUCAACUGGGAGGGUGCGCCGAAUACUGAAUGACUAGAGUGCGGGAGAGGAAAGUGGAAUUCCUGGUGUAGCGGUGAAAUGCGUAGAUAUCAGGAGGAACACCGGUGGUGUAGACGGCUUUCUGGACCGUAACUGACGCUGAGACACGAAAGCGUGGGUAGCAAACAGG
rnacentral:rRNA from 1 species